GAUCAUGGCUCAAGACGAACGCUGGCGGCGUGCUUAACACAUGCAAGUCGAACGAGGGAAUUGAAAGCUUGCUUUUGAAACCCGAGUGGCAAACGGGUGCGUAACGCGUGAGCGACAUACCCGUGACUGGGGCAUAACCGAUGGAAACGUUGACUAAUUCCCCAUAACACAUCGUGCUGCAUGGCAUGGUGUUGAAAAUUUCGAUGGUCACGGAUUGGCUCGCGUCUGAUUAGCUAGUAGGUGAGGUAAAGGCUCACCUAGGCGACGAUCUCUAGCUGGUCUGAGAGGAUGAUCAGCCACAUUGGGACUGAGACACGGCCCAGACUCCUACGGGAGGCAGCAGUAGGGAAUAUUGCACAAUGGAGGAAACUCUGAUGCAGCCAUGCCGCGUGUGUGAAGAAGGCCUUCGGGUUGUAAAGCACUUUCGGAGGGGAGGAAAAGAUGACGUUACCCUCAGAAGAAGCACCGGCUAACUCCGUG
rnacentral:rRNA from 1 species